rnacentral:rRNA from 1 species
UACGGGGGGGGCAAGCGUUGUUCGGAAUUACUGGGCGUAAAGGGCUCGUAGGUGGCCAACUAAGUCAGACGUGAAAUCCCUCGGCUUAACCGGGGAACUGCGUCUGAUACUGGAUGGCUUGAGUUUGGGAGAGGGACGCGGAAUUCCAGGUGUAGCGGUGAAAUGCGUAGAUAUCUGGAGGAACACCGGUGGCGAAGGCGGCGUCCUGGACCAAUACUGACGCUGAGGAGCGAAAGCCAGGGGAGCAAACGGG